rnacentral:rRNA from 1 species
AACGAACGCUGGCGGCGCGCCUAAUACAUGCAAGUCGAGCGAGAAGGUGUAGCAAUACACUUGUAAAGCGGCGAACGGGUGAGGAAUGCAUGGGUAACCUACCCUCGAGUGGGGAAUAACUAGCCGAAAGGUUAGCUAAUACCGCAUACGUUUCCGGAACUUCGGUUUCGGAAAGAAAGCAAUACCGUGGGUAUUGCGCUCCUGGAUGGGCUCAUGUCCUAUCAGCUUGUUGGUGAGGUAACGGCUCACCAAGGCUUCGACGGGUAGCUGGUCUGAGAGGACGAUCAGCCACACUGGCACUGCGACACGGGCCAGACUCCUACGGGAGGCAGCAGUAAGGAAUAUUGCGCAAUGGACGAAAGUCUGACGCAGCGACGCCGCGUGGGGGGAUGAAGGUCUUCGGAUUGUAAACCCCUUUCGGGAGGAGAUGGAGUGGGUAACCACUUGGACGGUACCUCCAGAAGCAGCCACGGCUAACUUCGUGCCAGCAGCCGCGGUAAU